AAAUAAUUUACUUCUCCUGCUUCCGAUCAAUCGCUCUCUCGCUCGCUCAUUUGAUUCCCGGCACCGUUUCAAGACCCAUAAAAAACAAGACUGAGAUCUCUUUUUGGGAAGUUUUGAUAGAAGAAAAUCAUCACAUAGUAGAUCAUGGAAACAGGGACGAUCUCUCGACUUCUUCAACCGACUAAGGUUCCAAGUUCUAGAUUUGCCAGUUUCACUUCUAAAUCUUCCAUAUGCUGCACGCGGACAAGGUUAAUGCCUGCUUGCCAUUCCUCACAUGGUGGGCGAGAAAUGAAUUCUGAUGAGCGAGAGAUUACAGUUUUAUCUUCUGAACUCACUCUUAAAAGAAGCAGUGUAGGUGGAGGAUUGUCUUUACAUCGCCCAUUGCACAAGAGAGAUGUAGUUGGCAAAACGUUCUGCUCUGUUGGAUUGUCUACGUAUCCAGGGAGCAUCGUUGAGUCUUCCUCACAGACAGCUGAAGAAAAGAUCGGAGUGCUACUUUUGAAUCUUGGCGGACCAGACACGCUUCAUGAUGUCCAGCCUUUUCUGUUCAACUUAUUUGCUGAUCCUGAUAUUAUAAGGCUCCCCAGAUUGUUCCUUUUUCUCCAGCGCCCAUUGGCACAACUUAUAUCUGUUCUCCGAGCUUCGAAAAGUAAGGAAGGAUAUGCUGCAAUUGGAGGUGGUUCUCCUUUACGAAAAAUAACAGAUGAACAGGCAAGUGCACUAAAAAUGGUGCUAGAAACAAAGGAAGUCCCUGCUAAUGUUUAUAUUGCGAUGCGGUACUGGCACCCGUUCACCGAGGAAGCUGUUCACCAGAUAAAAAGAGACGGGAUUACAAAGCUUGUUGUACUGCCUUUAUAUCCUCAAUACUCUAUCUCUACAACUGGUUCAAGUGUCCGUGCCCUUCAGAAUAUUUUCAAAGAAGACUCUUAUCUGUCCAGACUGCCAGUUGCUGUCAUUGAAUCCUGGUACCAACGACAAGGUUACAUCAAGUCCAUGGCAAACUUGAUUGAGCAGGAGUUACAUAAUUUCACUAAGCCUGAGGAGGUCAUGAUUUUCUUUAGUGCCCAUGGAGUGCCAGUCAGUUAUGUUGAAAAUGCUGGUGAUCCAUAUAGAGAUCAGAUGGAAGAGUGCAUUUUCUUGAUAAUGAAAGAGCUGAAAGCUAGAGAAAUCAACAAUGAUCAUACCUUAGCUUACCAGAGCCGAGUUGGUCCUGUCCAAUGGUUGAAGCCAUACACUGAUGAAGUUCUUGUUGAGCUUGGACAGAAAGGUGUUAAGUCUCUGUUGGCUGUUCCAGUAAGCUUUGUGAGUGAGCAUAUAGAGACUCUUGAAGAGAUUGAUAUGGAAUACAAGGAGUUAGCUCUUGAAUCGGGAAUUGAAAAUUGGGGUCGUGUUCCUGCUCUGAAUUGCACCUCCUCUUUUAUAACUGAUCUGGCAGAUGCUGUUAUUGAAGCAUUGCCCUCGACAGUGGCAAUGUCAACGUCCACUGGCACAGAGGAAGAAGUUGACAAUGAUCCCAUGCAAUAUUUUAUGAAAAUGCUUUUCGGAGCACUAUUAGCAUUUGUUUUUCUGUUUUCACCAAAGAUGGUAUCGGCUUUUAAGAACAUACUUUAGGGAGAGAUCCUUUACAGAAAUAGUACAGACAGAGAUAGCAAAUCAGAGAUGAAACAAUCCUUUACAAAAUAGAAGUUGUAAAUCUAAAAUUAUCUUCUAUUAUACCAAUAUAUAUAACUUGUAGAAACAGCAUGUACAAAUUAAUUAGUGCAG
rnacentral:misc_RNA from 1 species